GUUUAGAAAGAAAACAAUGUAGCUGUUGUCAGAAAAUACAAACUGCACUUUAUGGAUAAUAAACUUUUACACAAAGGUUCACUAAGCAUUGUAAAUAACCAUACUGCUACUGAAAUCAGCUACACUUGUUAGCCAGUUUAAUAUUGAUAUUUAUGAUCACUUGUCACAGGAAGACUUCCAGGUUUAACUGAGCACAGCCAAUGGAUUUAUUUUUCUAGCUUAAAUACUAAGAAAUCAUGAUGCCAUGAAAAUAUCAGGCGUACAUUUGUGAAUUAUAGCUACAAACAGAGGCAUUCCAUCACUGUUCCAAGCUAAAAGCGGUCAAAUAUAUAGAAAUAAUGCAUACUCACUCUUGUCCUUGUACAGAAUUAAGAAAG